GAUGAACGCUGGCGGCGUGCCUAAUACAUGCAAGUCGAGCGAACAGACGAUGAGCUUGUUCCUCGGACGUUAGGGGCGGGCGGGUGAGUAACACGUGUAUAACCUACCUAUCAGACGGGGAUAACUUCGGGAAACCGGCGCUAAUACCGGAGAAUAUAUUGAACCGCAUGGUGCGAUAGUGAAAUACGGUGUUGCUGUCACUUAUAGAGGGAUCCGCGCCGCAUGAGCUAGUUGGUCAGGUAAUGGCUUACUAAGGGAACGAUGCGUAGCCGAACUGAGAGGCUGAUCGCCCACCUGGGAACUUAGCCACGGACAAGGCUACUAAGGGAGGCACCAGUCGGCAAUCUUACGCAAUGGGCGAAAGCAUGACGGAGCAAGGCCGCGUGAGUGAUGAAGGUCUUCGGAUCGUAAAAAUCUGUUAUGAGGGAUGAACAAAUGUGUAAGUAAAUAUGCACGUAUUGACGGUACCUAAUAAGAAAGCACCGGCUAACUACGUG
rnacentral:rRNA from 1 species